AUCAUUGGAUACAAGAAUUGGCAUGUAAGUCCGAUGCCUGAACGACUCAUAAGGUCACUCAACCAAAAUCGGUCCAACGGAUCUGUUGAUGAUGAAAUCGACUCUGACGAUAUAGACAAAUCAUACCAUAUUAUUUCUCAACUAUCAAACACUGAUGGUCAAAACUUAAUGACUCCCUUGUUCAACGUACAAAGAUCAGAACGUUCUGCAGAACAACAUAAAGUUGCGUAUAUUGAAGUUCUUGUCAUUGUAGAUUUCUCUUCCUUCAAAUUAAUGAAUUUUAAUAUGAACAAAAUUAUUACAUACGUUCUUGCGCAUUGGAAUAGUGUAGACACUUUGUAUAGAGAUUUUGAACAUCCUAAGAUCAAGAUAAGUAUCGCUGGAAUAAUUGUAGCUCAGAAUGAGAAAGCUCUUAGUUACAUUUAACCAGAUAGCCAAGACAGAAUUGAUGUAUCAGCAACUUUGGAUGGAAUGUCAGCAUGGUUAUAUGAAAAUAGAAAUAUACUGCAGAUUUCAAGCUAUGACGCAGCUUUGAGCAUAUAGCACACUACCAUCUUAACUUUGUAAGCGAUGAUGGAGUAUGGGAACCCGGGACCGCUGGUUUUUCGCAUGGUUCAGCCAUAUGAAAAUUUCGGGAAGAUAUAAAAAGUAAAUGGAAAACUUCGAUUGUCGAAGAAAAAGGACACUUUGAGUCUAUUCGCACAACAACUCAUGAAUUGGCA